rnacentral:rRNA from 1 species
AACGAACGCUGGCGGCAGGCCUAACACAUGCAAGUCGAGCGCCCCGCAAGGGGAGCGGCAGACGGGUGAGUAACGCGUGGGAAUCUACCUAAUGGUACGGAAUAGCCCCCGGAACCUUGGAGUAAUACCGUAUAAGCCCGAAAUGGGAAAGAUUUAUCGCCCUUAGAUAGGACCGCGUUGGACUGACGAGUUCGUGGGGUAACGGCCCACCAAGGCGACGAUCCAUAUCUGGUCUGAGAGGAUGAGCAGCCACACUGGGACUGAGACACGGCCCAGACUCCUACGGGAGGCAGCAGUGGGGAAUCUUAGACAAUGGGGGAAACCCUGAUCUAGCCAUGCCGCGUGAUCGAUGAAGGCCUUAGGGUUGGAAAGAUCUUUCAGUGGGGAAGAUAAUGACUGUACCCACAGAAGAAGCCCCGGCUAACUCCGAGCCAGCAGCCGCCGUAAAAC